UGACAGAGCUGGAUGUCAGUGAUCUGUUU
rnacentral:piRNA from 1 species